GACGAACGCUGGCGGCGUGCUUAACACAUGCAAGUCGAACGGAAAGGCCCUGCUUUUGCGGGUUGCUCGAGUGGCGAACGGGUGAGUAACACGUGAGUAACCUGCCCUUGACUUUGGGAGAACUUCAGGAAACUGGGGCUAAUACCGGAUAGGAGCUCCUGCUGCACGGUGGGGGUUGGAAAGUUUCGGCGGUUGGGGCUGGACUCGCUGCUUAUCAGCUUCUUGGUGGGGUAGUGGAUGACCAAGGGUGUGACGGGUAGCCGGCCUGAGAGGGUGGCCGGGCACAAUGGGACUAAGAUACGGCGCAGUAUCCUACGGGAGGCAGCAGUGGGGAGUAUUGCACAGUAAGCGGAAGCCUGAUGCGGCGACGCCGCGUGCGGGAUGACGGCCUUCGGGUUGUAAACCGCUUUCGCCUGUGACGAAGCGUGAGUGACGGUAAUGGGUAAAGAAGCACCGGCUAACUACGUG
rnacentral:rRNA from 1 species